ACCUCCCACAGCCCACACGAGUCUCUCUAGGCAGUACUCUGACCAACGUCCACUGUAUUGAGCCCUUAUGUUGUUCCUCGCUGCCUUUGAAGGAGCACCUGCCCCGAGAGGGCACAAACACAAGCUACUGCUCCAGCAGCGUGCGGGGACUGGGGUGAGUGGGCAAACUGGGCCGAGAGAGAGCCUGGACUCUGCCCUCUGACUGAAAACGUCUCCCUUCAGCACUUGAGCAACUACCCCUCCAUCUUGAGAGUGGCAAAAACAUCCCUUCCCCAGCUCUCCCCAAGCGAGCUUUGCCACUCGGAACGAAACUCCAGCGAGCAGCUGAAGCACCGAGUGCCUCCCCCAGGCCCUCAGCGACCCCUCCUCACAGAGCUCCUCACAGAGCCGCCGGCCCCAGCUCCAGCCCGCCCCGCUCUGCCACACCCAAGAUGGCGCCCGCGGGCGGCCGCAGCGGCGCAACGCGCGAAGGGGGCGUUAGGCGGGGAGGCGAUAGGCGGCCGCCUCACGUGAGGAGCUGAAAAGGGAAGAGCUCGGGGUGCGUGGGACGGAGUCGCAGUGUUGGAAGGAGCUCUGCCACCAUGAGGAUGAGAUAUGUGUUCCCUCCUCUACUGUACCUCAUGCCUGUGCUGCUGGGGAGUGGUGGUGUUUGGUCAUCCCUGCUUGGACCUGCAGGCCAGCUCCAGAGUGAUGGAGUCAUUGUAUUGUCUGUCCCAGAAGUGGUUUUGUUAGAAAAUGGAAGUUCAACAAAUGUCACGAUAUCUCUGAGGGCUCCGCUAAAUGAGACACUGGUGAUAACUCUUAAUAUUACCCACUCAUCAAAACACAACACUAUUGUUGAACUACCUGGUGAAGUACAUUUGCCUGCAGGUCACACUGGAGGCAGACUUCCAGGUGAAAGCAGAUGACGUUGGACAAGUAACAGUUUAUCUUUAUACCAGUAAUUCCAACUUAACUGGACCUAGGAUUCAAUUUCAAGUGAUUCAUAGCAUCAUAGUGAAAUACGCUGAUGAAGUGAUUGGCUGGAUCUAUUUCCUUGCGUGGUCUAUCUCCUUCUAUCCUCAACUAUUUGAGAACUGGCGGCGAAAAAGGUAAGGAUACUAAGAUGCGUUUGCAAGUUCCAUUAAGCACAUCUGAAAACAAUGUUCCUGGUUUCUUUUUCAUCCUGUCUUGGUUCUUGUGAAUUAUGUAUGGAAAGACUGGGGCAGGAGGAGAAGCAGGGCAAAGAUACUGCCUGAAUAAAUGCAGUCCCAGUGCACUUUUGUGUGUGCAGGUCAGAGGAAUUUACUUGCAUUCUACAGACACCUAAUUCUAAGGUUUGGCAUCCAGUAAUAACUGAUAGAGGACAGCUUUUUGUGUUCCCUUUGGUGUUAUGUUGUAUAUCACCUGACCAAGCCAAUUGUGCUGACACCUUCACAGUUGACUUACCUUGUGAGCUGCUUAUCAGGCAGCUCCUUGUAGUGCUAUCAUUAGACUAGCUCCUGUUUUACUAAAUGACUGCAAGUAGAAAGGUUAUCAUACAUGAAAACUAAAGCAUUCACUUUGGCAAAGAUGCACUACUGCUAUGGAUUUAGGCUGGCAUAGCUUUAUCAGGCUGGCUGAGCUCAUGGAAGGGUGAAGUUAAACAGCAGCAACAAACUUGGCAGUG
rnacentral:lncRNA from 1 species